GACAUCCUCUGACACCCCUAGAGAUAGGGCUUCCCCUUCGGGGGCAGAGUGACAGGUGGUGCAUGGUUGUCGUCAGCUCGUGUCGUGAGAUGUUGGGUUAAGUCCCGCAACGAGCGCAACCCUUGAUCUUAGUUGCCAGCAUUCAGUUGGGCACUCUAAGGUGACUGCCGGUGACAAACCGGAGGAAGGUGGGGAUGACGUCAAAUCAUCAUGCCCCUUAUGACCUGGGCUACACACGUGCUACAAUGGACAGAACAAAGGGCAGCGAGACCGCGAGGUUAAGCCAAUCCCACAAAUCUGUUCUCAGUUCGGAUCGCAGUCUGCAACUCGACUGCGUGAAGCUGGAAUCGCUAGUAAUCGCGGAUCAGCAUGCCGCGGUGAAUACGUUCCCGGGCCUUGUACACACCGCCCGUCACACCACGAGAGUUUGUAACACCCGAAGUCGGUGAGGUAACCUUUAUGGAGCCAGCCGCCGAAGGUGGGACAGAUGAUUGGGGUGAAGUCGUAACAAGGUAGCCGUAUCGGAAGGUGCGGCUGGAUCACCUCCUUUCUG
rnacentral:rRNA from 1 species